rnacentral:rRNA from 1 species
GAAACAUCUAAGUACCCUUAGGAACAGAAAUCAAUUGAGAUUCCGUCAGUAGCGGCGAGCGAACGCGGAUUAGCCCUUAAGUCUGAGAAUGAUUAGGAGAACGGUCUGGGAAGGCCGGCCAUAGUGGGUGAUAGCCCCGUACAGGUGUUGUUAUGAAAAGGACUUGAGUAGGGCGGGGCACGUGAAACCCUGUCUGAACGUGGGGGGACCACCCUCCAAGCCUA